CUACGGGCUGCAGCAGUGGGGAAUAUUGCACAAUGGAGGGAACUCUGAUGCAGCAACGCCGCGUGGAGGAUGACACAUUUCGGUGCGUAAACUCCUUUUAUAUAAGAAGAUAAUGACGGUAUUAUAUGAAUAAGCACCGGCUAACUCCGUGCCAGCAGCCGCGGUAAUACGGGGGGUGCAAGCGUUACUCGGAAUCACUGGGCGUAAGGAGCGUGUAGGCGGAUUAAAAAGUCAGAAGUGAAAUCCUAUAGCUUAACUAUAGAACUGCUUCUGAAACUCUUAAUCUAGAAUAUGGGAGAGGUAGAUGGAAUUUCUGGUGUAGGGGUAAAAUCCGUAGAGAUCAGAAGGAAUACCGAUUGCGAAGGCGAUCUACUAGAACAUUAUUGACGCUGAGACGCGAAAGCGUGGGGAGCAAACAGGAUUAGAUACCCUGGUAGUC
rnacentral:rRNA from 1 species